GUUGAAAAGAACUUUGAAGAGAGAGUUCAAGAGUACGUGAAACCGUUCUGGGGUAAACGGGUGGAGCCCUAAAGAUCGAAAGAGGAGAUUCAGUUAGUCCAGUCCUCCUGCCGCUUCGGAUCGUUCGGUAAAUACCGCGCUUCCUCGCAAGGGGAUCAGCGCGGGGCCGGCGGUUUGAGCACGCGCGCGGGCGGUGGAGCGCACUUCUCCUCGAGUAGGACGUCGCGACCCGUUGGGUGUCGGCCUACGGCCCGGGUGCGAGCCCGUCCGCACGAGUUCCUCGAGCGGCGGAGCCCUGGUGUCCCGGCCGAGUGCCCGACGGUAUUGUCACGGAAACGGCUCGCGAGCUUAAUUGCUCGCGCGUGUGCCUUGCGCAAGCGUGCGGCCGGUGCAUGUUGCACGGACUUUCGUCCGUCAUGGCCCGGUUGACGCUGUUGGCGCUUGGAUGACUCGCGCAGCGGCCUGCUCCUGUUUGCGACGCUCUCAAUUGGGCGGCCCACCCGGCCCGUCUUGAAACACGGACCAAGGAGUCUAACAUGUGCGCGAGUCACUGGGUGGUUACUACACCCAAGGGCGUAUUGAACGAAAAGGUCGGCUUAUGCCGGCUUAGGGAAGAUGGGGCGCCCUCGUGGCCUCCCGCACUCCCGGGGCGUCUCGUCCUACCUUCGCUAGUCGGAGGAAGGUGAGGCGCACCAAGAGCGCACACGUUGGUACCCGAAAGAUGGUGAACUAUGCCUGGCCAGGACGAAGUCAGGGGAAACCCUGAUGGAGGUCCGUAGCGGUUCUGACGUGCAAAUCGAUCGUCAGAGCUGGGUAUAGGGGCGAAAGACUAAUCGAACCAUCUAGUAG
rnacentral:rRNA from 1 species